AUUGAACGCUGGCGGCAUGCUUUACACAUGCAAGUCGAACGGUAACAGGCCGCAAGGUGCUGACGAGUGGCGAACGGGGGAGUAAUGCAUCGGAACGUGCCCCGUCGUGGGGGAUAACUACUCGAAAGAGGAGCUAAUACCGCAUACGAUCUAUGGAUGAAAGCGGGGGACCGUAAGGCCUCGCGCGAUUGGAGCGGCCGAUGUCAGAUUAGGUAGUUGGUGGGGUAAAGGCUCACCAAGCCAACGAUUUGUAGCUGGUCUGAGAGGACGAGCGGCCACACUGGAACUGAGACACGGCCCAGACUCCUACGGGAGGCAGCAGUGGGGAAUUUUGGACAAUGGGCGCAAGCCUGAUCCAGCAAUGCCGCGUGCGGGAAGAAGGCCUUCGGGUUGUAAAAUGCUUUUGUACGGAACGAAACGGCUCUGGUUAAUACCCGGGGCUAAUGACGGUACCGUAAGAAUAAGCACCGGCUAACUACGUG
rnacentral:rRNA from 1 species